GGGGUUAAUCCCCCAAAUACCCAUGGUUGCUGCCCAAGGCAGGGUGUUGUGGUGUUUACAUUAAUAUUGUUCUCAGCUACGAGGUGACAACUGGCGUGUGAGCAUUCGUCCCCUGAAGACUUGGAGGCUGCGGAAAACCGGCCCUGGAGAUCAGAGCCAGAGCUUGCCCCCCUGACCAAAACUGGUGCCAGGCCAACUGAAUGGCUCCAACCCUUUGUGGGAUAACACUCUCGGAAGUCUACAGCAUGGCUUUAUAAUGUCUCUUAUAAACAAAUCAACUGAUCAGAGAAAGCCUGCUCAAUGACUGUGAAUGGUACUGAUCUAUCCUGGAUACUGAGAAAAGCAACUUGUACUUAUUACUUUAUUCAACUGUCCUGUGAUUUCCCAGGCACCAAGAAUUUGGCUGUUAAAAUACAUAGUUUGUAUCAACCCAGUUUUAAUAAAAGUAACUAGUUUUAUAUCUGAGUUACAUAAAAAUACUUUGAGGUAAUUUUUGAAUUCACUGAAAAAUUGGAUUACUUCCUGUUGGCCUAAAAAUAACAACUGAAUCCAUUGGAGCCCUGGGCUGCUUUCUGGGUGAGCUUUGGUGGCCCAAAGGAUUACUAAUUGGGUUAGGAGUAUACAUUGUCAUUAUUAUUAUUAUUUUAUUAUUAUUUGUAUUUAAGUAGUCCCUACAAACUGUAUUGUGCUAUACACUGUAUAAACAUAAUGAGAUACUGUUCCUGCCCUGAAGAGGUCACAAUCUGAAUAGACAAGACAGAGGUGGAAUGAUUUGCCCAAGGUGACCCAGCAGAUCCAUAGCAGAUCCAGGAACAGAACCAUCCAUGGUCUUCUGAUACCUCAACCAGUGCCUUAUUGACUAGGCUCUGUAUGUGUCGAACAGACUAUUCAGUCACUCCCAUCUGGUGGCAUUUUUAAUCUGAACCUCCAGAGAUAAUGUAAUCAAGUGUAUUUCAGAAUGAUAAAAUCACAGUUUACUAGCAAAUUACUAUUGUUUAUUAAAUGCAAAAGAACACCCCACCCCGUUAAUUUUCUUAAAGCUGCAUAGAUAAAAACCAGUCAAGAAUUGAAAAAUUAGUUUCAGUUGCAUCAUGGCAAUGUUGUUCAUCCUAUGUAGUAAUUUUAAUAAUAAUGAUCACAUAGCACUGUACCUAUUGGGUUCUGGGAAGUGGGCGGGCAGAGGCCUGCCCAAUGCUAAAGGAUCCCACCCCAGCCUAAGGGAGGAUCUACAGGACCUCAAAACCCAACAGAGUUCAGAGGACAACUAAUAAAAGAGCAGGGACAGGAGUGCGGUCAAAGGGUCAUAAGAAGGGAGCCUGACGGGGACACUGAGCAGCACAUAGCACUGUAGCGGGGCCGUAACCCCACUCCUGCCCUGAAGGGCUUAAAGCAGCCCUGGGAGAGGGCUGUGGUAGGGGGAAACCUGAGCUGAUUGGGGAAAUAACCAGAGCUGGGCCAUGCCCCAAUCAGGCCACAGCUGGCCCUAUAAAAAGGCUGUGAGCUAGGCACUCUGGAG